rnacentral:rRNA from 1 species
UCAAGUUAUUAAGGGUGCAGGGCGGAUGCCUUGGCACUAGGAGCCGAUGAAGGACGUGAUAAGCUGCGAUAAGCUUCGGGGAGUUGCACGUAAACUUUGAUCCGAAGAUUUCCGAAUGAGGAAACUCACUUAGAGUAAUGUCUAAGUAUCAUUAAGUGAAUACAUAGCUUAAUGAGGGGAACUCAGGGAACUGAAACAUCUAAGUACCUGAAGGAAGAGAAAGAAAUUCGAUCCGUAAGUAGCGGCGAGCGAACGCGGAUUAGCCCAAACCAAUAAAGUUUUCUUUAUUGGGGUUGCGGACAUAUCAUAACGAAGAGGUAUCGUAAUUGAAGAGGUUUGGAAAGACCCACCACAGAAGGUAAUAGUCCUGUAUGUUAAACGAGAAGACUUUAGAUAUGAUCCAGAGUACCACGGGACACGUGAAACCCUGUGGGAAGCAGGAGGGACCACCCUCCAAGGCUAAAUACUACCUAGUGACCGAUAGCGUAUAGUACCGUGAGGGAAAGGUGAAAAGAACCCCGGGAGGGAGUGAAAUAGAACCUGAAACCCUGCACUUACAAGCUGUGGAAGCACAUUUCUUGUGUGACCGCGUACUUUUUGUAGAACGGGCCAACGAGUUACGUUAAGUAGCAAGGUUAAGCACUUAAGGUGCGGAGCCGUAGCGAAGCGAGUUUUUAACUGAGCGUUCACUUGACGUAGACCGAAACCGGGCGACCUACCCAUGAGCAGGAUGAAGCGAAAGUAAAAUUUCGUGGAGGUCCGAACCCACGAGCGUUGAAAAGCUCGGGGAUGACUUGUGGGUAGCGGUGAAAUUCAAUCGAGCCCGGAGAUAGCUGGUUCUCCCGAAAUAGCUUUAGGGCUAGCUCAAGGUGAGAGAUACGGAGGUAGCACUGAAUGUCCUAGGGGUAUUGCACCUACCGAAGACUAUCAAACUCCGAAUGCCGUCAUCUUAUACUUGGGAGUCAGACUGUGGGUGAUAAGAUUCAUAGUCGAAAGGCAACAGCCCAGAUCGUCAGCUAAGGUCCCUAAAUGUAAGUUAAGUGGUAAAGGAUGUGGGAUUGCACAGACAACCAGGAUGUUGGCUUAGAAGCAGCCACUCAUUCAAAGAGUGCGUAAUAGCUCACUGGUCGAGUGAUCCUGCGCCGAAGAUUUCCGGGGCUAAAACUUACUACCGAAGCUACGGCAUCAGUAAUGAUGGGUAGGGGAGCUUCCCAUACGGGUUGAAGCAUGACCGUAAGGACAUGUGGACAGUAUGGGAGUGAGAAUGUUGGCAUGAGUAGCGAGAUGUGGUGAGAAUCCCACAGGCCGUAAACCCAAGGUUUCCAGGGGAAGGUUCGUCCGCCCUGGGUUAGUCGGGACCUAAGCUGAGGCCGAAAGGCGUAGGUGAUGGACAACAGGUUGAUAUUCCUGUACUACCGAUAACCGUUUGAGAGAAGGGAUGACACAGUAGGAUAAGCUAAGCACACUGUUGGUUAUGGUGUGCCCAAGCAUUGAGGCAGUCAAAGUAGGCAAAUCCGCUUUGAUAAUGCUGGGAUGUGAUGGGGAGCGAAAUUUAGUAGCGAAGUAGCUGAUUUCACACUGUCAAGAAAAGUCUCUAUCGAGGUUAAAGGUACCCGUACCGCAAACCGACACAGGUGGGUGAGGAGAGUAUCCUAAGGCCAGCGAGAGAACUGUUGUUAAGGAACUCGGCAAAAUGACCCCGUAACUUAGGGAUAAGGGGUGCCACCAUCAGGUGGCCGCAGAGAAUAGGCCCAAGCGACUGUUUACCAAAAACAUAGGUUUCUGCUAAGUCGCAAGACGAUGUAUAGGAGCUGACGCCUGCCCGGUGCUGGAAGGUUAAGGGGAUCUGUUAGAGCAAUCGAAGCAGUGAACUUAAGCCCCAGUAAACGGCGGCCGUAACUAUAACGGUCCUAAGGUAGCGAAAUUCCUUGUCGGGUAAGUUCCGA